rnacentral:rRNA from 1 species
CGUCACACCACGGGAGUUGGAGACGCCCGAAGCCGAUUAUCUAACCUUUUGGAAGAAGUCGUCGAAGGUGGAAUCAAUAACUGGGGUGAAGUCGUAACAAGGUAGCCGUAUCGGAAGGUGCGGCUGGAUCACCUCCUUUCUAAGGAGA